AUCAUUCUGAGAGCAAAGAAUCCGUCUUGUCCCUUUGCCCCGCGGUUGUGCAAUCCCGUGAUGCCCCGCCUACCGCUGCUCUGCCACAGUGGAGUAUACUAGUAGUACUGAGCAGAGUAGAGUACUAGACGACACUAAGCAUAUGAUUCCCUCCCUUGACAAAUCCCCAAAACUAAAAAAGCUUUUUCAAGCUGUUCCAUUCACUUCACUUGCACGCACUCAUCUCAUUAUCAUCAUUCAAAGGUGUGGUGAGUUCUUCAAGAAAGGAAUGCAAAUCUGGUGAUGUUUCUUGAGGGAGAGCAUCUUGUUCUUGCUUGCUUUGCGGUGUCAAGGACGGACCACUCAGUCGGUCAGGCCAGGCCAGGCCAGAUCCCUGUGCGGACUGCACAAUGUUUUUCUGGUGACCAGUACCUAUCUCCAUUAACUCUUCUUGAUCCAGGAAGAAGCUGAAAGAAAUCUUGUAAAAAAUGGGUGGCCAUGCUCUGCUCAUCUUGCUGUCGGUGGCGUCCCUGGCAUUGCUGCCGGGAGCCACGCCGCUGCAGCCCUCACAGGCCUGGUCCCUCUUCAAGCUCCGGCAGCUCCUGGGCGACCCGCCGGUGCUCGGCACCUGGCACAACUACACCGACUUCUGCUACGGCGGCGACUACAAGACCGCCUCCGCCUUCGUCGAGUGCUACGAGGACAGCGUCACGCAGCUCCACAUCAUGGGCGACCCCGGGGCCGGGGCGCGCCCGCUCCCCGCCACCUUCUCCAUCGACGCCUUCUUCACCACGCUGUCCAGGCUGCCGGAUCUCAAGGUGCUCACGCUCACCAACCUCGGCCUCUGGGGGCCACUGCCGGGGAAGAUCUCCCGCCUCCAGAAGCUGGAGAUCGUCAACGUCAGCUCCAACUACCUCUACGGCGAGCUCCCGCGGGGGCUCUCCCAGCUCGGCAGCCUCCAGACGCUGGUCGCGGACCACAACAUGCUGGGAGGCAAGCUGCCGGGGUGGCUCAAGGACAUGCCGCUGCUGGCGGUCCUCAGCCUCCGGAACAACAUGCUGCAGGGGACGCUGCCGGAGUCGCUCAAGGACAUGCUGUCGCUGAGGUCGCUGGUGCUGGCGUCCAACAACCUCUCCGGGAAUCUGCCGGACCUCAAGAACCUCCAGGUGAUUGACAUGGCCAACAACGCGCUAGGGCCCAAGUUCCCGCGGCUGGGGCGGAAGGUGGCCAGCGUGGUGCUCGCCGGCAACAAGUUCAGCGACGGCCUCCCCGCCGACAUGCUCGCCUCGUGCUACCUCCUGGAGCGGCUGGACGUGUCGGGGAACAGGUUCGUGGGGCCUUUCCCGGCGGCGCUGCUGUCGCUGCCGUCCAUGGAGUACCUGAGCAUCGCCGGGAACAGGUUCACCGGGCGGCUCUCGGGCAACGCCUCCUGCGGCGAGAACCUCCGGUUCGUGGACCUCUCGUCGAACCUCCUGACGGGGAGCCUCCCCGGCUGCCUGCUGGCCGCCCCCGGCAAGAGCGUGCUCUUCUCGGCCAACUGCCUUUCCACAGCCGGCGACGACUCCCAGUCCCAGCACCCGUCGCCCUUCUGCCGGAACCAGGCAUUGGCCGUCGGGAUCGUGCCUGAGCAGGGACACAAGAAGAGUGGCGCCAAGGCCGGUGUGGUGGCCGGCAUUGUCCUUGUGGGAGCAUUGGUCGUGAGCGCGGCGGUGGUGUUUGUGGUGAGGAAGGCGAGCGCGCCCAAGGCGAGGCCUGCACGGAGACUGGUGGAGAACGCGUCGAGCGCUUACCCUUCGAAUUUGCUGGCCGACGCGCGUUACAUAUCUCAGACGGUGAAGCUGGGGGCUCUUGGCAUUCCGGCAUACAGAUCAUUCUCCUUGGUGGAGCUGGAGGCGGCCACCGAUAACUUCCAGGUGUCUAGCCUCAUGGGGCAAGAUGCUCAUGGCCAGAUGUACCGUGGACGGCUAAGCAAUGGGACCCCGGUGACAAUCAGGUCCCUCAAGGUGAACAAGAGCCAGAGCUUCACCCGCCACAUCGAGAUGAUAUCCAAGCUGAGGCAUCGGCACCUGGUGAGCGCGCUGGGGCACUGCUUCCAGUACAACCUCGACGAUUCCACCGUCACGCACCUCUACCUCGUCUUCGAAUACGUGCACAAUGGCAACCUCAGGGGCAGGAUUUCACAAGGAACGGAAGGCCGGAGGCUGUCGUGGGGCCAAAGAAUAUCGACCGCCAUUGGUGUGGCCAAGGGCAUUCAGUUCCUGCAUGGAGGGAUCAUACCAGGCCUGUUUGCGAAUAACCUCAAGAUCACCAACAUUCUUAUGGACCAGAAUCAGGUCCCCAAAAUCGGCAGCUACAACAUCCCCAUUCUGUCAGAGACCAUGAAAUCAGAGGGAGGAGCUGGAAGCAAGUAUCCACCGGAUAGGGUUCCGAAUGGCGAUAAGAUUGACAUGUACGAUUUUGGUGUGAUACUGCUGGAGGUUAUCUCCGGCAGGCCCAUCAGUUCCAUAUACGAGGUGGAGAUGAUGAAAGAACAGGUUCGUUUCCUUUCCUUUCCUUGUAUUCUUGCUAAUAGUAUAUUAUAUACUACUCCCUCUGUCCCAAAAUAUAAGAACGUUUUUGACACUCCACUAUCGUUAAAAAUGCUCUUAUAUUAUGAGACGGAGGGAGUACAUAGUAGAGCGAGUUGUAAUCGGAAAAAGUUUGUGGAUCGAAAAAGUUGCAAUCGGCGCUGACAGCACAAGGACCGAGCAAGAGGAGCAACUUGGUGGACCCGGCGGUCAGCAAGGGCUGCUCCGACGACUCCAUGAGGACCGUCAUGGAGGUCUGCCUCGGCUGCCUGGCCAAGGAGCCAACGCAGAGGCCCUCAGUGGAGGACGUGCUCUGGAACCUGCAGUUUGCGGCCCAGGUGCAGGAUGGCUCACGACGCAGCAGCGAGGAGUCCCCGCUCUCGCCCUCGCAGCCCCAUGCACAAUCCGCACACGACUCACCGACCCACCGCUAGGGCUCACAAAAAUGCAUUGCCAAGCAUCAUCAUGGAUUCAUGGCUCAAGGCAAGGAUACAAGUGUACAGCAGCUCAAGCUGGACCCCGUGAUGCAUAUAGAGUUUUCGCCAAGACGCCACUGGAUAUGAUGAGUUUUCAACUUCUCAAAUUAAGUAGAACCGACUUUUUCUUUUUCUUCUUCUUCUUCUUCUUUCGAGAAAUCUCCAAUAGAACGACUAGUAACCAUAAUCUCGUUAUGGAUUGGAAUGCACUCCCAUAAAACCAUUAUUUGUUCCCACAGUGUCCGGAAAAUUCCACUUUGUCUAGUCUAGAAAUACAAAUUUGUAUGGUUUUCGAGAACCGGAUAUUGUAAUAUUCCAAUGCAUAUUAUAUCUAAAAAUAAUGUUGCUACUCC